rnacentral:rRNA from 1 species
CAUGCAAGUCGAACGAGUUCUGAUUAUUGAAAGGUGUUUGCAUCUUGAUUUAAUUUUGAACGAGUGGCGGACGGGUGAGUAACACGUGGGUAACCUGCCCUUAAGUGGGGGAUAACAUUUGGAAACAGAUGCUAAUACCGCAUAAAUCCAAGAACCGCAUGGUUCUUGGCUGAAAGAUGGCGUAAGCUAUCGCUUUUGGAUGGACCCGCGGCGUAUUAGCUAGUUGGUGAGGUAACGGCUCACCAAGGCAAUGAUACGUAGCCGAACUGAGAGGGUGAUCGGUCACACUGGGACUGAGACACGGCCCAGACUCCUACGGGAGGCAGCAGUAGGGAAUCUUCGGCAAUGGACGAAAGUCUGACCGAGCAACGCCGCGUGAGUGAAGAAGGUUUUCGGAUCGUAAAACUCUGUUGUUAGAGAAGAACAAGGACGUUAGUAACUGAACGUCCCCUGACGGUAUCUAACCAGAAAGCCACGGCUAACUACGUGCCAGCAGCCGCGGUAAUACGUAGGUGGCAAGCGUUGUCCGGAUUUAUUGGGCGUAAAGCGAGCGCAGGCGGUUUCUUAAGUCUGAUGUGAAAGCCCCCGGCUCAACCGGGGAGGGUCAUUGGAAACUGGGAGACUUGAGUGCAGAAGAGGAGAGUGGAAUUCCAUGUGUAGCGGUGAAAUGCGUAGAUAUAUGGAGGAACACCAGUGGC